GGGACAUAGUGAGACAAGAUGGAGAGACAUAGUGAGACAAGAUGGAAGGACAUAGUGAGACAAGAUGGAGGGACAUAGUUAGACAUGAUGGAAGGACAUAGUGAGACAAGAUGGAGGGACAUAGUGAGCCAAGAUGGAGGGACAUAGUGAGACAAGAUAGAGAGACAUAUUGAGACAAGGUGGAGGGACAUAGUGAGACAAGAUGGAAAGACAUAGUGAGACAAGAUGGCGGGACAUAGUGAGACAAGAUGGAGAGACAUAGUGAGACAAGAUGAAGAGACAUAUUGAGACAAGAUGGAGGGACAUAGUGAGACAAGAUGGAGAGACAUAUUGAGACAAGAUGGAAGGACAUAGUGAGUCAGGUUGGAGGGACAUAGUGAGACAAGAUGGAAGGACAUAGUGAGACAAGAUGGAGGGACAUAGUGAGACAAGAUGGAAGGACAUAGUGAGACAAGAUGGAGGGACAUAGUGAGACAAGGUGGAGGGACAUAUUGAGACAAGGUGGAGGGACAUAGUGAGACAAGAUGGAGAGACAUAUUGAGACAAGAUGGAAGGACAUAGUGAGUCAGGUUGGAGGGACAUAGUGAGACAAGAUGGAAGGACAUAGUGAGACAAGAUGGAGGGACAUAGUGAGACAAGAUGGAAGGACAUAGUGAGACAAGAUGGAGGGACAUAGUGAGACAAGGUGGAGGGACAUAGUGAGACAAGAUGGAGAGACAUAGU